UACGAAGGGGGCUAGCGUUGCUCGGAAUUACUGGGCGUAAAGGGCGCGUAGGCGGAUAGUUUAGUCAGAGGUGAAAGCCCAGGGCUCAACCUUGGAACUGCCUUUGAUACUGGCUAUCUUGAGUUCGGGAGAGGUGAGUGGAAUGCCGAGUGUAGAGGUGAAAUUCGCAGAUAUUCGGCGGAACACCAGUGGCGAAGGCGACUCACUGGCCCGAUACUGACGCUGAGGCGCGAAAGCGUGGGGAGCAAACAGG
rnacentral:rRNA from 1 species